rnacentral:rRNA from 1 species
UACGGGAGGCAGCAGUGGGGAAUAUUGCACAAUGGGCGCAAGCCUGAUGCAGCCAUGCCGCGUGUAUGAAGAAGGCCUUCGGGUUGUAAAGUACUUUCAGCGGGGAGGAAGGCGAUGCGGUUAAUAACCGCGUCGAUUGACGUUACCCGCAGAAGAAGCACCGGCUAACUCCGUGCCGGCAGCCGCGGUAAUACGGAGGGUGCAAGCGUUAAUCGGAAUUACUGGGCGUAAAGCGCACGCAGGCGGUCUGUUAAGUCAGAUGUGAAAUCCCCGGGCUUAACCUGGGAACUGCAUUUUGAAACUGGCAGGCUUGAGUCUUGUAGAGGGGGUAGAAUUCCAGGUGUAGCGGUGAAAUGCGUAGAGAUCUGGAGGAAUACCGGUGGCGAAGGCGGCCCCUGGGACAAAGCUGACGCUCAGGGUGCGAAAGCGUGGGGAGCAAACAGGGAUUAGAUACC